AUUUGACUCAACGCGGGGAAUCUUACCGGGUCCGGACACACUGAGGAUUGACAGACAGUUGUCUUUCCCUCCCUUCGGGGUGGGAUUACAAAAGAUAACAGAUCUUUCAUGAUCAUGUGAUGGGUGGUGCAUGGCCGUUCUUAGUUCGUGGAGUGAUCUGUCUGCUUAAUUGCGUUUCAAAUUUUAUAUUUGUUAACAUGCGAGUCUUCAAUGACGGCCGCUCCACCUUAUAGACAUUAUAUGAUAUGCACAUUUGUGUAUUUGAUUAUAACUUGUCUGGAGUCUGGCUCGAUUUUUUUGACUCAAUUGAACGCAACGGACGUGAUUGCAAGUCCUUGUUGAACAAAUUAUAUAUAUACUACUUCAUCAUUAGUAUAUAUAGUUCGCUUCUCAUGUCGUAGCAGUCAAACGGGCGGGCGUCUUAAUUGGCGCGGUCACGAGGCUUAAUAUGCUGCGGCAGGGAAAACUUGGGCGACCGCUGUAAUACUUCUCUCUUAAACCAGAGGAAGAUUGCGGCAAUAACAGGUCUGUGAUGC
rnacentral:rRNA from 1 species